rnacentral:misc_RNA from 1 species
UUUUUUUUUGUUCAGCAGGUGUAGUUUCUUGCAUCUAUGAUACUAAAUGUUUCUGAUUAAGUUGAUUGUUCAUGAAAGUUUAAUUUUAAGGAAAUCCAUCCCCUUCAGGUAGUAAAGUUAAAUUAAUGUGCAGUUUUUAAAGUUGAAAAACUUGAUGGCAGAUAAUUUGAAAAUUUCUGUACACUAGUUCAUUCUGUGCUAGCAUCAUCUUGGGCAGAUGAUUUUUGGCAUCCUACUGCAUUCAUACUGGAUAUUCUAAUAUUUAACUUGUGAAUACCUUGUAGCAUGUUAUGCCCUUUAUCCAAUACCAUUCCUUGCAGGGUUUCUGGCGUGGCAACGUCCCAGCUUUACUAAUGGUUAUGCCAUACACUGCCAUACAAUUUGCAGCGUUACACAAAUUGAAAACUUUUGCAGCUGGAUCUUCAAAGGCAGAGAAUCACAUUCAGUUAAGUCCUUACCUCUCUUAUGUCAGCGGGGCAUUAGCAGGGUGUGCUGCUACGAUUGGAUCAUACCCAUUUGAUCUUCUUAGAACCCUAUUGGCUUCACAGGGUGAACCAAAGGUAUAGAAUAUCAACAUGUCUAUGUGCAAUAAUACAUUUGGUUCAUGUUUCAAAUAACUUAAUUUUUUUAUAAGGUCUUUUAUGACAUGCAUGUACAGAAUUUUUAAUUGUUGCUCAUAUUAGUAAUGUGUAUCAUAGUUAUAAGUUUAUCUUAUCUUCGGUUGCAAGUCUAUCACGUUAUCAGUGAAUCGUUCAUGUGUUUUCUGAAUUCCGAUUACUCUUUAUACUUCGAUUCUAAAGAUGUUGCACAACAGCAUACUAGUCGGAAUUCAUGCCACUAAUGAAAGCAUUACAUCGUAUUUGCUCGUUUUGUGACUGUUUGAAACAUGUUAUGCUACCCAACAUGUUUGUCUUCUUCAUACUUGAUAUUCCUUGUCUCUUACCUUGUUUGUAAGCAUUUACAAAGAUAAAUUAAUUUAGUCUUUAAAAUUAAAUUUGAAGUGAGCUACCAUACGUUAUACAAAUGAGAAUAUCUUUUGGAACUACCUUGGAUCAUGAAACUUUCUUCCAUAUUUGUGCUUGUGUGGCAAUGUCCUACACUAGCACUUCUGCGUAAUAACUGUACCAAAGGCAAUCCUAUUACAGGCUAUCACACUGUACAUCUAGUGUGUUAAUUUUUGCAUUUGGAAGCAUAUAUGUUGCUCUUUAAGUUGGUGAGGAAUCCCAUUUAAGUUGGUCAUGUAGUCUUUGAUUCACAGUUUUUCUUGUGGUUUCAAAUUGCAUUUUUGUGAGUCUCAAUGACAAGGGAAGUCUACAUCUCAUUCCAUCCUGGUGGAGAACUACUUGGUUACAAAGUCUAGUUUGGUUCUAAUUAUCAUGCUUUUGGCAUUGGUUACCAUCAAGUAAGGCAAGCUUCUGCAUGGUGGAAAUUGGGGAGUGCUGCUUUUCCCCACAACCCCUUCUUCCAAAUCUUACUCACCCUGAAACUUGGGUAAAGGGCCUUGAUGGUAUUUGGGUCAUUUGUUUAGUCUUAUAUUGCUUUGAGUAUAUAUAUUAUAUAUAUUUGCCAGUUGCCACUCAACCCAUUUACUUGUUUUUUCUUUUAUUCUACGUUGCAUAUUGUUGCUUGACUAAUGAGUGUCCACAUUUAGGUCCAUCCAACAAUGAGAUAUGCAAUUGUUGAUACCAUUAAUUAGGACUCGUGACUUCAGAGGCUUAUAUGCUGGAUUAUCACCAACACUAGUCAAGAUUAGCACUUCUGUCGUGCAUGCAUGCUGGCAUGCGUUGCAUUACAUGGUCACUAUUUUGAAUAGUGACUGGGUCUCUAGUCGUUUCUUUGCUAAGUGACUAGACAAACGACUUGCAAGUCUUGUUUUUAAUCCCCAAUUUUGAGUUUGAAAAUUCAAACUCAGACUCCUUUGGUAAAUAAGUUUUCUGAUCCCCCUUUUGGUAAAUAAGUUUCUUAAAACACAAACUUUUGGGGAAAAAAAGCUCUUGAUUUGAUGCAUGAACUGCUUGGAAAACUUUGGUAACUAUCAACCUCGAAAUUUCAAGGGGAAUUGAGGUGUGAUUUUCACCUUUUUAUAUGAGAAGUUUUUAUGAUGCAGUAAGUGUCUAGGUUUCACGCCAUUAUCCGUUAAUGUUGACAACAUUUUUGUUUAACUGAUUUUUUGUUGGAUAGAUAGUUAUGGUCCUGUUUAGGUUCUUAUAUGAAAAAUUUCCUGCCAAAGAACUUUUAUUUGAGAGUUUAGGUGACAGUUAAUUCUUAGAUUCAGCUGAACGAUCAUGCCACUAAUAUAAUUUUCUAACAUGACUGGGCAAUAUAAAAUACGUUAGUGUUACAAUCAUACCCUGCCAAUAUCUGGAUUUUGUGAGCUCUUUUAUUUCUUCUUCUCCUGCACUCUACUGUGUUUUGUGUUAAUUUGCUAAAUUAUUGGUAUUCUUGGCAAAGACAGUAUGUUGAUGUGAAGUCUGAUAUUAUAAAUUGGAAGGAAAUUUACAAUUUGAAUGAAUAAUUAGAAAAAUCUUAAGUUGUCCAUUUCAUUUCCCAAUAACAUAAAAUAUGGAAUUUUUGGGUAGUCAUUGGCUUCUAGUACCUUUACAAGAGCCUUAGAUGCUCUAGAUCUUUUACUCUCAAGGACAUGUUUAAGUUUACUUUCCUUUUAUAUGUUUUUGCAUGAACCCCACAAGCAAGACUUGUGUUUCAACUCAUCAAUAUUAAGCUUCUUUUGGCAAUUGCUUAUCAAAUACAACCAUGAUGCUUUCCUACGAUACUGUUCAGUUUUCUUAGGAAACCUUUUAUUUAGAACCUCUGAUACUCUAUCUGGAGAAUCCCGCUUAUACUGCUGAGUACUUAUCUGGACCUGCAACAUAUAUUAGCCCAAACAAAAAUCAGCAUCUCAACAAACUGGUUUUGUCACUUGGAUAUAUUAAUUUGAAAAGUAUCAAUUAAUGCAGGCAUAUAUGAUUAGCUUUCCAAUUAUACAGUGUGCAUGAGUUGCGCUGUUUGUUGUUGAUUAUUAGUAACUAAGCAUGUUAUUUAAAUUCAAAACCAUAACUUAAUGCUAGAUAUCUAAUUUUGCAGUUCACGUUUUACUGUUAGGAACUUAGAAAAAUUUUUAAAGGGCAGAAUUAAUGAUAGCGUAUUUGAGGGCAACUUCCUUCAUCAUGUAAUGUGAAGCUGACAAUUUUCAUCCAAUUGGUUUGUUUUGUUUAUAUUGCAGCUGGACAGCAAUUACUCAAUUGGCGCAUCAUGGGAUGCUCUAUGUUCCCAUUGGGUACACUUUCGGAGCUGGAAUGUUUAGAAUGGAUUCCAUUAGGGGAGGGUCUCCAUAUGGUGCUGGAGUCUUUUCUGGAGACGGCUCGAGGCAGCCAACUGAAACAGAGUUGGCUCUUGCUGAGCAUCAGGGAAAAUAUAUGGCUACAGUAGUCAAGAGAUAUGCUAAGCCUUUCUCGCUGGUGUCUGGUAACAACCAUAGCUAGUGUUAAUGAAGCCAAGAU